rnacentral:rRNA from 1 species
UGGGGAAUCUUCCGCAAUGGACGAAAGUCUGACGGAGCAACGCCGCGUGUACGACGAAGGCCUUCGGGUUGUAAAGUACUGUCUUCAGGGACGAACGGUAUCUAUGUGAAUAAUGUGGGUGCAUGACGGUACCUGAGGAGGAAGCCCCGGCUAACUACGUGCCAGCAGCCGCGGUAAUACGUAGGGGGCAAGCGUUGUCCGGAAUCAUUGGGCGUAAAGGGCGCGUAGGCGGAUACUUAAGUCUGGUGUGAAAACCUAGGGCUCAACCCUGGGACUGCAUCGGAAACUGGGUAUCUUGAGGACAGGAGAGGAAAGUGGAAUUCCACGUGUAGCGGUGAAAUGCGUAGAUAUGUGGAGGAACACCAGUGGCGAAGGCGACUUUCUGGACUGUAACUGACGCUGAGGCGCGAAAGCGUGGGGAGCAAACAGG